rnacentral:rRNA from 1 species
UCCAAAUCAUGGCAAGUCGAGCGAAUGUACGAAGAGCUUGCUCCUCUGAUUUAGCGGCGGACGGGUGAGUAACACGUGGGUAACCUGCCUGUAAGACGGGGAUAACUUCGGGAAACCGAAGCUAAUACCGGAUAAUAAAAAGAGACUCCUGUUUCUUUUUUGAAAGUCGGUUUCGGCUGACGCUUACAGAUGGGCCCGCGGCGCAUUAGCUAGUUGGUGAGGUAACGGCUCACCAAGGCCACGAUGCGUAGCCGACCUGAGAGGGUGAUCGGCCACACUGGGACUGAGACACGGCCCAGACUCCUACGGGAGGCAGCAGUAGGGAAUCUUCGGCAAUGGACGAAAGUCUGACCGAGCAACGCCGCGUGAGCGAUGAAGGCCUUCGGGUCGUAAAGCUCUGUUGUCAGAGAAGAACAAGUACCGGAGUAACUGCCGGUACCUUGACGGUACCUGACCAGAAAGCCACGGCUAACUACGUGCCAGCAGCCGCGGUAAUACGUAGGUGGCAAGCGUUAUCCGGAAUUAUUGGGCGUAAAGCGCGCGCAGGCGGUUCCUUAAGUCUGAUGUGAAAGCCCACGGCUCAACCGUGGAGGGUCAUUGGAAACUGGGGAACUUGAGUGCAGGAGAGAAAAGUGGAAUUCCACGUGUAGCGGUGAAAUGCGUAGAGAUGUGGAGGAACACCAGUGGCGAAGGCGGCUUUUUGGCCUGUAACUGACGCUGAGGCGCGAAAGCGUGGGGGAGCAAACAGGAUUAGAUACCCUGGUUAGUCCACGCCCGUAACCGAUGAGUGCUUAGGUGU